CAAUCAGAGUGAUACAAGUGUCUCCUUGUCAGAACCCAAGAGCAAAAGCAGCCUUCACUUACUGUCCCAUGAAACAAAAAUUGGAUCUUUUCUAAGCAACAGAACUUUAGAUGGCAAAGACAAAGCUGGCCUUUGUCCAGAUGAAGAUGAUAUGGAAGGAGAUUCUUUCUUUGAUGAUCCCAUUCCUAAGCCAGAGAAAACUUACGGUUUGAGGAAGGAACCUAGGAAGCAAGCAGGAAGUCUGGCCUCGCUCUCGGAUGCACCCCCCUUAAAAAGUGGACUCAGCUCCCUGGCGGGAGCCCCUUCUUUAAAAGACUCUGAGAGUAAGUGCCCAAAGAUGUGGACUUCAAUACUCGGGAUAUUUUUUCUCUAAUUAAAUACUAUGUGAUUAUUGUUGAUUUUUUUUCCCAGGAAAAUCACUAAAAUAACCUAUCAUUUUAUCACUCAGAGAUAUUUCCUGUUAAUAUUUUGUUGUGUUUUGUUACUUCUAAGGUGGUCCUAUUUUAUAUGUUGUUUUGUAUUCUGGCCCUUCCUAUACCUAUAUACCAUCGGAAUACUUUUGGGAAGUUGACUUUUUAGCUGAUUUUUAUUAUCUAUAGAAAUAAAAUUUUUAAAUCAUCUCUCCUUUUUUGGACAUUUA
rnacentral:lncRNA from 10 species